GAAUAUUGGACAAUGGGCGAAAGCCUGAUCCAGCCAUGCCGCGUGGAUGAUGACGGCCCUAGGGUUGUAAAGUCCUUUCGACGGGGAAGAUAAUGACGGUACCCGUAGAAGAAGCCCCGGCUAACUUCGUGCCAGCAGCCGCGGUAAUACGAAGGGGGCUAGCGUUGCUCGGAAUCACUGGGCGUAAAGCGCACGUAGGCGGCUUUUUAAGUCAGGGGUGAAAUCCUGGAGCUCAACUCCAGAACUGCCUUUGAUACUGGAGAGCUUGAGUUCGGGAGUGGUGAGUGGAACUGCGAGUGUAGAGGUGAAAUUCGUAGAUAUUCGCAAGAACACCAGUGGCGAAGGCGGCUUACUGGUCCGGUUCUGACGCUGAGGCGCGAAAGCGUGGGGAGCAAACAGG
rnacentral:rRNA from 1 species